rnacentral:lncRNA from 1 species
GGAAGGAAGGAAGGAAGAAAGGAAGGAAGGAAGGAAGGAAGGAAGGAAGGAAGGAAGGAAGGAAGGAAGGAAGGAAGGAAGGAAGGAAGGAAGGAAGAAAGAAAGAAAGAAAGAAAGAAAGAAAGAAAGAAAGAAAGAAAGAAAGAAAGGAAGGAAGGAAGGAAGGAAGGAAGGAAGGAAGGAAGGAAGGAAGAGAGAAAG